AUGCUGGAGGUAUCAGAAGUGCGAAUGCUGACAUAAGUAACGAUAAAGCGGGUGAAAAGCCCGCUCGCCGGAAGACCAAGGGUUCCUGUCCAACGUUAAUCGGGGCAGGGUGAGUCGACCCCUAAGGCGAGGCCGAAAGGCGUAGUCGAUGGGAAACAGGUUAAUAUUCCUGUACUUGGUGUUACUGCGAAGGGGGGACGGAGAAGGCUAUGUUGGCCGGGCGACGGUUGUCCCGGUUUAAGCGUGUAGGCUGGUUUUCCAGGCAAAUCCGGAAAAUCAAGGCUGAGGCGUGAUGACGAGGCACUACGGUGCUGAAGCAACAAAUGCCCUGCUUCCAGGAAAAGCCUCUAAGCAUCAGGUAACAUCAAAUCGUACCCCAAACCGACACAGGUGGUCAGGUAGAGAAUACCAAGGCGCUUGAGAGAACUCGGGUGAAGGAACUAGGCAAAAUGGUGCCGUAACUUCGGGAGAAGGCACGCUGAUAUGUAGGUGAAGUCCCUCGCGGAUGGAGCUGAAAUCAGUCGAAGAUACCAGCUGGCUGCAACUGUUUAUUAAAAACACAGCACUGUGCAAACACGAAAGUGGACGUAUACGGUGUGACGCCUGCCCGGUGCCGGAAGGUUAAUUGAUGGGGUUAGCCGCAAGGCGAAGCUCUUGAUCGAAGCCCCGGUAAACGGCGGCCGUAACUAUAACGGUCCUAAGGUAGCGAAAUUCCUUGUCGGGUAAGUUCCGACCUGCACGAAUGGCGUAAUGAUGGCCAGGCUGUCUCCACCCGAGACUCAGUGAAAUUGAACUCGCUGUGAAGAUGCAGUGUACCCGCGGCAAGACGGAAAGACCCCGUGAACCUUUACUAUAGCUUGACACUGAACAUUGAGCCUUGAUGUGUAGGAUAGGUGGGAGGCUUUGAAGUGUGGACGCCAGUCUGCAUGGAGCCGACCUUGAAAUACCACCCUUUAAUGUUUGAUGUUCUAACGUGGACCCGUGAUCCGGGUUGCGGACAGUGUCUGGUGGGUAGUUUGACUGGGGCGGUCUCCUCCUAAAGAGUAACGGAGGAGCACGAAGGUUGGCUAAUCCUGGUCGGACAUCAGGAGGUUAGUGCAAUGGCAUAAGCCAGCUUGACUGCGAGCGUGACGGCGCGAGCAGGUGCGAAAGCAGGUCAUAGUGAUCCGGUGGUUCUGAAUGGAAGGGCCAUCGCUCAACGGAUAAAAGGUACUCCGGGGAUAACAGGCUGAUACCGCCCAAGAGUUCAUAUCGACGGCGGUGUUUGGCACCUCGAUGUCGGCUCAUCACAUCCUGGGGCUGAAGUAGGUCCCAAGGGUAUGGCUGUUCGCCAUUUAAAGUGGUACGCGAGCUGGGUUUAGAACGUCGUGAGACAGUUCGGUCCCUAUCUGCCGUGGGCGCUGGAGAACUGAGGGGGGCUGCUCCUAGUACGAGAGGACCGGAGUGGACGCAUCACUGGUGUUCGGGUUGUCAUGCCAAUGGCACUGCCCGGUAGCUAAAUGCGGAAGAGAUAAGUGCUGAAAGCAUCUAAGCACGAAACUUGCCCCGAGAUGAGUUCUCCCUGACCCUUUAAGGGUCCUGAAGGAACGUUGAAGACGACGACGUUGAUAGGCCGGGUGUGUAAGCGCAGCGAUGCGUUGAGCUAACCGGUACUAAUGAACCGUGAGGCUUAACCUUACAACGCCGAAG
rnacentral:rRNA from 1 species